AACGUAGGACACAAGCGUUGUUCGGAAUUAUUGGGCGUAAAGCGCGUGUAGGCGGCUUUGCAAGUCGGGUGUGAAAGCCCUCGGCUCAACCGAGGAAGUGCGCCCGAAACUGCAGAGCUUGAGUACCGGAGAGGAUGGCGGAAUUCCCCAAGUAGAGGUGAAAUUCGUAGAUAUGGGGAGGAACACCGGUGGCGAAGGCGGCCAUCUGGACGGAUACUGACGCUGAGACGCGAAAGCGUGGGGAGCAAACAGG
rnacentral:rRNA from 1 species